rnacentral:rRNA from 1 species
ACUAAGCAUAUCAAUAAGCGGAGGAAAAGAAACCAACAGGGAUUGCCCUAGUAACGGCGAGUGAAGCGGCAACAGCUCAAAUUUGAAAUCUGGCUCUUUUAGAGUCCGAGUUGUAAUUUGCAGAGGGCGCUUUGGCUUUGGCAGCGGUCCAAGUUCCUUGGAACAGGACGUCACAGAGGGUGAGAAUCCCGUACGUGGUCGCUGGCUAUUGCCGUGUAAAGCCCCUUCGACGAGUCGAGUUGUUUGGGAAUGCAGCUCUAAAUGGGAGGUACAUUUCUUCUAAAGCUAAAUAUUGGCCAGAGACCGAUAGCGCACAAGUAGAGUGAUCGAAAGAUGAAAAGCACUUUGGAAAGAGAGUCAAACAGCACGUGAAAUUGUUGAAAGGGAAGCGCUUGCAGCCAGACUUGCUUACAGUUGCUCAUCCGGGUUUCUACCCGGUGCACUCUUCUGUAGGCAGGCCAGCAUCAGUUUGGGCGGUAGGAUAAAGGUCUCUGUCACGUACCUCCUUUCGGGGAGGCCUUAUAGGGGAGACGACAUACUACCAGCCUGGACUGAGGUCCGCGCAUCUGCUAGGAUGCUGGCGUAAUGGCUGUAAGCGGCCCGUCUUGAAACACGGACCAAGGAGUCUAACAUCUAUGCGAGUGUUUGGGUGUCAAGCCCGAGCGCGUAAUGAAAGUGAACGGAGGUGGGAACCCGCAAGGGUGCACCAUCGACCGAUCCUGAUGUCUUCGGAAGGAUUUGAGUAAGAGCAUGGCUGUUGGGACCCGAAAGAUGGUGAACUAUGCUUGAAUAGGGUGAAGCCAGAGGAAACUCUGGUGGAGGCUCGCAGCGGUUCUGACGUGCAAAUCGAUCGUCAAAUUUGGGCAUAGGGGCGAAAGACUAAUCGAACUAUCUAGUAGCUGGUUCCUGCCGAAGUU